rnacentral:misc_RNA from 1 species
UAGCACUUUUUCAUUGCAAAACAAAAGAAUUUGUACAAAGGUUCCUGAAAAUUUGAUCCAUCUAUCUACAUGAUUCCGCCUCUUAACGAGUCUCAAUACAGAGUUGGAGAGCCCCACUGUGUUGAGAACAUCCAAAGCUUUGCGUUGUGCAUUCUUCAAGCGUUCCCUUUGCUCUGAAUAUUUGGAAAGGAUGGCUGAUCCUGUUGAUAAAGAUUCUUGCAACAUCCUUUUUGAAUUUUGAACUGACUGCAUUGCUUGUGCUUCCUCAUCAAAUAUUCUUAAAACAUGAGCUGAUUCACCAUUAGCUCUUCCAAGCAAUUCUGCCCUCUCCUGAGCUUCCCUCAUCCGCUUUUGAUUCCUUGAGAAGUAUCUAUCCAGACUUUGUUUCAAUGAUUCAGCUUCUUCUGCUACUUGUUCUACCUUUCUUUUCCAGAGAUCACGCUGGGGUUUAGCGGCGAUUAAGCGCCAGAGACGAUCCAUUUCAGCACAAAGGGACUGGAUCUGAGAGAUGUCCUUUUUAACGGUGAAGGAGAGCUCAGGGGAGUCGAGACCUCCACUAGAUGUAGAACUCUCGAGACGCUCCAGCCUCUCGACUCCAUCCCGAGCCCUGAGCAGGAGCUUCUUCGCAGUCUGAAAAAUCUCGGAUAGCGUCCCUCCUCCUUCAACAGCCAUCGCCAUUCGUUAAAGUUAUACAGAAAGUGAAAUCUAGAGCGAGUUUUGGCCUUUUUGGUGCCCUUUUAGACUCGGUUUUUAGAGAGUUUCAGAGAUGAGAGAAAAAAGCAUGCAAUUUCACAUGCCCAUGGCGUCGGCUUUUGGAAUUUGGUUUGAAGGGUUUGGAUUUUUUUUUUCUUUUUUUUUUUUAACUUUCUUUGGGGAAUUUAGGAAGCGAAAAAACUGAAGGGGGGCGGUGUUUUCCGAUGGAGGAUAAAAUUAGG